AACGAACGCUGGCGGCAGGCUUAACACAUGCAAGUCGAGCGCCCCGCAAGGGGAGCGGCAGACGGGUGAGUAACGCGUGGGAAUCUACCCAUCUCUACGGAAUAACGCAUGGAAACGUGUGCUAAUACCGUAUACGUCCUUCGGGAGAAAGAUUUAUCGGAGAUGGGUGAGCCCGCGUUGGAUUAGCUAGUUGGUGGGGUAAAGGCCUACCAAGGCGACGAUCCAUCGCUGGUCUGAGAGGAUGAUCAGCCACACUGUGACUGAGACACGGCCCAGACUCCUACGGGAGGCAGCAGUGGGGAAUAGUGGACAAUUGGCGCAAGCCUGUGCCAGCCAUGCCGCGUGAGUGAGGAAGGCCCUAGGGUUGUAAAGCUCUUUCACCGGUGAAGAUAAUGACGGUAACCGGAGAAGAAGCCCCGGCUAACUUCGUGCCAGCCGCCGCGGUAAGAC
rnacentral:rRNA from 1 species